AACGAACGCUGGCGGCGCGCCUAAUACAUGCAAGUCGAACGAGAAGGUGUAGCAAUACACUUGUACAGUGGCGAACGGGUGAGGAAUGCAUGGGCAACCUACCCUCGAGUGGGGAACAACCAGCCGAAAGGUUGGCUAACACCGCGUACGCUUCCGGGUCUCCGGAUCCGGAAGGAAAGUCACACCGUGGGUGUGACGCUCAAGGAUGGGCUCAUGUCCUAUCAGCUUGNGGUGAGGUAACGGCUCACCAAGGCAACGACGGGUAGCUGGUCUGAGAGGACGAUCAGCCACACUGGCACUGCGACACGGGCCAGACUCCUACGGGAGGCAGCAGUAAGGAAUAUUGCGCAAUGGGCGAAAGCCUGACGCAGCGACGCCGC
rnacentral:rRNA from 1 species